AGGAAUCAGAGCCAUCGAAGGAAGAGAGAGAGACUUUCUUGGCUAAUGCAGCACAGGUAGCCUCUCCAGGGCAGCAAGAUAUCUGUGUGCAGUAUAGAGUGCUGCAAAGGAAGAUGUUACUCAAUACCAGACAUUCAAGACUUCCAGGACUGCUGCAUGCUGCUGAAGUGUGGAAGUGGAUAAAGGGGUGGUGGUGUUUUUCCAUUUCAUUGUAA